rnacentral:rRNA from 1 species
UCGUAGUGAACCUGCGGAAGGAUCAUUA